AACACUUUGGCAUGCAGGGUCAUGCAGAGGCGUCCCCUCUGGCAGGUGGGCUGGGGGCUGCCGGACACCCCCAGUGCCCUGCCGGGCCAGGACAAAGGGAAAGGGGGGGAUCUGCCUGUGGCGCUCCUCCGAGGGUGGAGUACCCCAACCGAGAGAAGUAUGUGAAUGCCGUGUUAAAUGAGGCCAAUGCUUUCCUAUCACAGGGAGGGAGGGGGAAGAUAAACAUAUUAAAGACGUUCACUUACUGCAGCGCUGGCGGCUACAUAAGCCAACGAUGGCUGCAUAGAUUAAAUGCCAAAAAGCCCUUCAGCAGUGAUUAGUCUGUGGCUGCACUGACUGCUGCUUCAGCUGUGAUCAUAAUCACCUCCCUCUGACCGUGUACCACCUCAUCUGCUCUUCAGUUGUUUCUCAUAUUCUGCUUAGCUAUUGCUUUAGAAGAGUUUUACAAUGAGCUCUUCAAUGUGUUUGUACAGCACAUACACAAUAGGGCCCAGUCCCUGACCAAGACCUGCAGGCACUAGAAGAGCACAAAUGGCAGCAGUAAUUGCAUACUCGAUGAGGAUUCAAGUCCCUCGAAGGAGAAAAUAAACACUUUUUCAGCGACAGAGAGGUCAUUGCCAAGAUGAGAGUGAACCUGGCAGAGGUUUGUUUCUCCAGCUCCACCCAGCUUUGUGUGAGUUUCCAGCAGGCUUUUUAGCCGUACAUCUCUAACUGGCUCCAGUCAGCUGGCUGAUGCUGAAAUUGCUUUCGUUGUAAGAACAAAGCGAGCUUCUGCAUCUCCUAGAAUUUGAAACAGAGCAGGUUUGUGAGGAGUUGGACAGCAGCAAUGAAGAGAACUAUGUGAGGAAAAGCAGAUGCUGAAGUCUACCAGAUCCUGAAGAUCUGUGAAACAGAGGAGCCUGCUGAGAGACAGAGAAUUUAUUUGUGUUGUAGUGCAUAUGAUUUUCUUCUGGAUGAUUCAAAAGAGAGGGUUAUUUGAAAGAUGAAAUUUCCUGGCUUCAGCCAGUGAGGGGACAAGUGGAAUAUUGAGAUCACUGCAUUUCCCCUCACAAAUUCUUUCAUUUCUAGUAUUGUUUUUAACUAAUCCUGGUAAUAAAUGUGAUUUUAAAAUGUCA